AACAUUUUUUUAAGUAACUUUAUGUAUGGGAAAAUAUGCAACAUCAGGUCAUUUGGCAUCCACAAAUGAAACAAAUUUACAAUACAAAGUUAUCCACCUCCUCAAUUCAUCAAUUUACUGUUGUAUCUCCAGAUCAGUUCUUUCAAUUAUAACCAAAUAUCCAUAAAGACUGGUAUUACAUAUUGACAGCACUUCGAGUUUGCUGUCUUAAAUUUGUAACGGACAAAGGUAGGUAGAAACGGCAAGAAGCUUCUUAACUCUAACAUACGACAUUUUAAAAUUACUUCAAUCAGCUGAAAACCAGUUUAUAAUGCCCAAGAUAUGACAUAUUUUUAAAUGCAAAUUAUUUAGAAAUGACCUUCUGUUUUACUGUACUUUUAACCAUUACUGGUCUUUGUAAGCAAGAAAUGGAUUAAUAACUUCAUUACAAAGAUGAUAGGUACUACAUCUUAUUCAUACUGAUAUCUCCAGCCUAGUCCAGGCCCUGAUAUUCAAUAAUACUUCACUGAGCAAAAUCAUAAAUUAAUGAAUACAUGAAUGAAUGAAGAACAAAUGCAUAAAAUCACCUGCAGAAAAUUAAAUAAGAUACACAUUAAUAGAAAGCUCUACAUUUGCAAUAAUUUUAACAUAUUAAAGUGUUAAAUUGCUUUUAACACUCUAGUAAUAUAUUUAUAUCAAAGAUCCCAUCUAGGACUACAGAUGGGGAUCCUUGCCUUAAAAAUAAUUUCACUUACAUUAUUCAACAAAUGUUUCUUCAAAAAGAUGAUGGCAGAAACAUCACAAAAUGGGGAAUUUUGCACAAUUGCACUGACACUGUGUAAGUAAAGAUAUUUAUCCAAGGCAAAAACAAUUAUCAUUAGAGCAAAGAGAAAUGUUCAUAUUUAGGGAACUGGCUAGAAUGAGCUAAGUUACACUAAGGAACAAACAACCCCAAAUCUCAGUGGCUUAGAACGACAGAGGCUUAUUUCUCACCUAUAUGCUAUGUCUUUCCCAGAGUGGCUGAAGUUUCUGCUUUAUAGCAUCCCAUUCUAAGACCUUGUUGAUAGAGCAGCCACCAUCUCCUAUACAUCCAGUCCUUGAGUCAAAGUGGAAAGACAGCUCUGAAGACUCUUGCACCAGCAAUUAGAUGCCAGUCACCUGAUCCACAGGAAGCCCAAUCUUACAACCUUCUGGUGUGCCUCCAAGGUGACAGACUGAGCCCAAGCAGGAUCUCUGCACCCACCCAGGUACAGCUCACUGGAAAUAUUGCAGUUGUUUGCAGAACACCUCUGCCUUCGGAGGAGAUUCUGUCUCUGACCAACUAGUUCAAGGACUCUUGCAAUCUGAAAAA
rnacentral:lncRNA from 10 species